rnacentral:lncRNA from 1 species
UAUGACAAGUUGCCAAGAUAUAGAAGUGAAGCUUGCUUCCUAUCAUAAGAUAUACCAUGAGAAGAAGAGCCAGACCUUGAUUUCAUGCGAGAAGGUGGAGUAGGAGGAAGAGAAGGAGGAGAGUUAGAAGGAGUAGGAGGAGGAGGAAAACCUCCUGCAGGCUCGUCUGAGUAUAUUCCUAGGUGAUGGCAGAGGGGCAAGAAAGCAAGCAAAAAGAAGCACAGAAGCCCUCUCAUGGCCAAAACUGGCUUGGUGUCACUUUUACCUCAUUCUAUUGGUCAAAAAAAGUCAACAGGCUGAGCCCAGAGUCAGAGUGGGAGAGUACUGCAUGGUUACAUGACAGAGGAUGUGGAUAUGAGGAAUCGUGAAGAACUGCAUCCAUUAGAGCCAUCUGUCACAGAAGGGACUAUUGUCAUUUUACUAAUUUUGUACAUGAGGAUAGGGAAGCAUGGAGAUGGUAACAUGCCUAAAGUCACAUAGCUUCUUAGCUGUGGAACCAGAAAGUAAACCUGGGCCUUCUGGGCCCAGGGCCCGUGGCUGUUAAAACCACUGUGCACACUGCCUUACUCCUACCCUUCACAAUCAGGUUUCUGCUCUGACCACCCUAGAAAACAUGCCCGUCUCAGGUUACCGAUGCUCUCCUAUGGACAGAUCCAAUAGCCUUUGUUAAUUGUCCACAUCUCUAUCCAUUCUGUAAUACUCCUGCAUGCUGCAUCCUUGGAGUUCUUUUCUCCUUUGAUUCUGCAGAACCUGUACUGUUUUGUUUCUCUUUCUGGCUUCCUCUGUCUGUCUCUCUUCACCAACUACAUAAUGCAUUCACUUCUUUUUCUUGGCAUCUCCCUUUCCAAGCACACCCACUCUCCUGGUUUCCAUUAUCUCCCUGCAGACAACUCUCAACUGGCUCUAAGAAAGCUCACUAUAAUUUUCAGCAACCUAAUUCAGUCGUUUGUCCGUCACAAAUAACAGCUCAGGAAAAUCAAAGGAUUUUCUCACUAGCAUCUUAUCAUUCCAUGUCACCUAGCAACUAUCCCAGUGCUUGAUAUUCUGCUACUAGAAACUCCCUACUACACAGAUAAUACCACUGGAAGGUAUAAAGCCACUUGACUGACCUCUCUCCAUUCACAGCAUUUAUAACUGUAAGAAAUUGCCAGUGGUUGACUCUUUCCGACCUUCGAAAGUGGCAAUUUCAUGUGGUUCAGCUUAAUAGUAUUUAUUACCU